CGAACACUACUAACUCAUACUCACAAGUCCAAGUAGAAAAGGUCGUAUUACAAUGAAACCAAAUACAACAGAUAAUAUGAACGAAAAUAAUUAAGAGUUAAUGAUUCUAGUGCAGUGGAAAAUAAUUCGAUGAAAAUAAUUCUUUAUAUCAAUGUUAAUCUAUUUGUAUAAUUAAAAUAAAGGGAAUUAGGCGACAUGUACAAAGCAAAAAAGAUUUAACUAUAUAACCAUUACAACUUAUAUGCUACACGAUAUUUUGUAUAAUUUUACGAAAUAUUCCAACAUACCCUUUGUCUGCGCGUGAAAGGUUGAAAGUCGCUUUUUAAUCUGGCAGUUGGAAAGUGUGUUUACUUACGAACCUCUCGCAUGCGAAACAUAAAAUCUAGGUGAAUAGGACGAUUGUGCGUUAGAAAGAAAAAUGGUUGAGUCGGUGAAUAACGAUUGUUCAGAGCGACAUCAAUUGGCUCUUCAAAGUCAGGGUUACAAAGUAUCUUCCAUUUCCAAAGCGGCGUGAGCGAUUGCAGAGCACAAGUGAGAAAAU
rnacentral:lncRNA from 1 species